UUUAUUGGAGAGUUUGAUCCUGGCUCAGGAUGAACGCUGGCGGCGUGCCUAAUACAUGCAAGUCGAGCGAAUGGAUUAAGAGCUUGCUCUUAUGAAGUUAGCGGCGGACGGGUGAGUAACACGUGGGUAACCUGCCCAUAAGACUGGGAUAACUCCGGGAAACCGGGGCUAAUACCGGAUAACAUUUUGAACCGCAUGGUUCGAAAUUGAAA
rnacentral:rRNA from 1 species